CGCCGUUGUUGUUCCCUCGCUUGUGAGAAUUCAUGUAGCUUUUAAGUUGUUUACUGAUAAAAUCGUCAGAGUAGCGCUAACAACAUUAGCACGAUGUAUGUUAGUGUGUGUGCAAACUGUAACUGUUAUGUGUGUGAGGUCUGUGAGGGAGAGAGAGCGGGAGAGAUAGAGUGUGUGCUUUCCGUACAUAAUAAAGCGUAAUUUUGUGGCAAAAACAUGGACAUGAUCUGUCGUUUUUAUCAUACUGUUUACUAUAUGUAUUUGUUUGGCCAGUGUCGUCGUGGGUUUUGGUUAUUUUGCUGUUGUAAGACCUUAGAAAUAACAGAAAUCAUUUGGCGAAGUGAUAUUGUCAUGUAAUGCGGUCAAGAGCUGCCUGGAACUAUGUUUGCCGUGCGUUUCCCUGAAAAUAAUUGCACACCUCAGAACGUUCGUCAGCCAAUCAGAUUCAAGCAUUCAACGGCCCCGUAGUAUAAAAUGCAUUUGUUGCACACACAGAAGAGGCGAUGUUGUCUGUUGGCACAUAUUAGUUUUUAUUUUGUCACACUCUGCAAAGUUAACAAACACAACAAGAAAUUAGUUCAUUUCACAGUAGUGUGUUUCAACGACUGGCAGUGUGACUUCUUCAUACAUCAGGGCUCGCAAAAUCGCUAGCCCGAAGUCGCGGGGCUAUUGUGUUUUCCAGUCGGGCUACCAAAAUGUAUCACCGCCUGCCCGACGGGCUACCUUAAAUACAGAUCUCCCGCGGGUCCUUAAAAACUCUUAAAGUGAGUUGUAUCACACUUAAAGUUUUAAAUACGUUAAAUGGUAUAAGAAAUGUCUUAAUUAUCAUUUCUAAAGGUCUUACAGUUGGGGACGGAAAGACAAGAGUCGCGAUACGGCUGGAUUAAACUUCAAAAGGCAAUGAUGUCAUUGAAUAAAUAUGAGCGCGGCACGUUUCAAGUCAAACCGCGGCGCGGAUGCAUUUAUGUGAAUGUAUCUGAAGGGAACCGACUGUCCUCAGAAACGUGUCGUUGGCAUUUUAAUUUCAUUUUACCUAUAAUUCCUGAUAAAGCAGCGUUUAUGAGCGAAGAGCGUAGUGUACAGCGUUUCCGGGGAAACAGCAAUAUUUCAGCGCUCCUAAAGCGCCACCUCGUGGCAGAGAAUGAAUUUGCAUUUCCAAUAAGCCUUUCUUGCUGUUUAUGGUCAGAUCAAUGCAAAUAUCAUCUUUUUACGCAGCAAACAGUUGUAAAUGAGAAAGAAGUUAAUGUGCCUUCUAAAAAUGUAAACAAUUACAUAUACAUAAUACCUGACCAUAAUACCUUAAAUUAACAUGAAAACCUGUAUCUGAACUGUAAAUAAUGUAAUUUUAUGGCUCAAUACUGUAUGUUACCAUAGACAUUGUCCAACCCCGCUCAUUCUGUGUUCAGUUUACUUGUGCAGCUCUUAAAAUGGAUCAUAAAUUGCCUUAAAUUUAUUUUUAAAAAUUCUGUGCAGACCCUGUAAAUAGUGAAAUAAGAUUCCUUCCUUCAUAUUUGUUUAUAUUUGUGUAUUGAAAAUAUUUUUUAUUUGACAUUUAAACUCCUAUCGGGUUUUCUACAUUUAAAAAAAUAAAUAAAUAAAUAAAUAAAAAAUUGUUUUUUUUUUUUAUUUGGGCUAGUUAAAUUAAUUUUCGGGCUACCAAAAUCUGAAGAGUACCUGCCCGAACCCAGAUAGCAGGGUGACAUUGAUUCAAUGUUGAAAUUCCAUCAGAAUCAUCAUUUUGGUUGAGGUUGAAAAUUCAAUGCUAAAUAAUAUUGGAUCAAUGUUGAUAAUUCAAUGCUUUUCAGUGUUGAAAAGACAAAUAUUGAAUCAAUGUUGAUUUUUGGUCAGCAUUUCACUGGUGAAACUUUAGACUGUCAAUCCCUCAUUCAGCACUUAAAUAUGGUACAUUUUCCUCAAUUGUAGUGAGCACAUGCUCAUCAAACAAUAAAUUCUGUACAUUUUGUAAACUCGUCACCACUAGCAGCACCGUUAAAUAAAUAAAACUGUCUGCUGGGUGUGUGGAUUAACAAAGAACUGUGACCAUUAGAUAGAACUCAGAUAAACCAGCUGGAUAUUAUUAUUAUUAUUAUUAGCAGCAGCAGUAGUAGUAAUGUUUUUACAUUAGUAAUUAAUGUUCAUUACCUGUUUUUGGCUAGCUAGAGGAGUACAUUCAGCCAGAGACUGAUGAUGAUUCUUGUGGUCAUUUUAAAUUAUAAUUAAACAUUUAAAUUAUAAUUAUCUUUAUAUUAUUUAUAAUUUAUAUAUUCAUUAUAAUUAUUAGAUUUAAAUCAUGUGGAAUUUACAUACAUUUAAUGAAUCUAAAGAGAAUAGAGAGAAUUCAGAGGGUUUUUUCAUGCGGCACAAUCCAGUCCAUUAGGUGGCAGUAAUGCAGCUAACGCUGGCUGCCAACCGCCAAUCAAAUCAAAGCGCGGGAGAACAGAUUUCAAAUGCGCAACGGACGGAGACCAGGCCUAAAGGAUAACAGCAAACUGUUUUUAGAGGUAAGUAAUAAAAGAUUUAAAAAGAAAAAAAAAACUUGACAUAAAACAUAACGCAUAGAAAUAAUUAUAUAUAUAAAAAAAUCGUUGUAACUUAACUUACUUUCUUUACAGAGAGUUCCCUUUAUAUGACGACAGAUGUUGAUCCUUCACUUAGCUACGAACACAACAGAUUCAGGUCAGAGAAAAAAAGUAGUGACUUAAUUUCGCGUAUAUUUCACUAUUCAUCUUCCGUUAUAACUGAUGUGUUUUUCUGGACAAGUCCGAGUGAACUGCGAGUCACAUGAACACGCAACGUCCAGACCAACGAACGGCCGAGCCCAUCAGAGGGACAUCUCCUUGGUUUGCUCACAUCAGGUCAGAGGAUGGAAUCUCCUGGAUCAAGGUUAAUAAUAAAAG